GAUGAAGACACGUAGCGAAAUGCGAUAAGUAAUGUGAAUUGCAGAACUCAGUGAAUCAUCGAAUCUUUGAACGCACAUUGCGCCCGCCAGCAUUCUGGCGGGCAUGCCUGUUCGAGCGUCAUUUCAACCAUCAAGCCCCGGGCUUGCGUUGGAGCCCUGCGGCCGCCGCAGCCUCCGAAAUACAGUGGCGGGCUCGCUAUCACACCGAGUGCAGUAGAAUACUCUUCGCUCAGGGCGUGUGGCGGGUGCCAGCCGUGAAACCCCCUACUUCUCAAGGUUGACCUCGGAUCAGGUAGGAAUACCCGCUGAACUUAAGCAUAUCAAUAAGCGGAGGA
rnacentral:misc_RNA from 1 species